UCAGCCCCCGAGGUUGCGGUGGGGGAGGCGGGGGGCGGCGCCCGCCCCUCGCAGCGCUGAGAGGUGAAUUCUAGUGAAUUUUUCUCUCUACAUGAGAGGAGAAAGUGAGAUGAGAAGAGAGCCUAUGGAUCAGCAAGAGAAAAGGAGAAGGGGGAAAAAAGCAUCAUACAAACUGUAUGCAUAACCAGCCAGAUUUAUUGCUCAGAGAGACAGUACCUUUUGCUGAGUCCAGCAUAUGGCCAACAGGAGCUAUGUCAGGUAAGGAAUACAACCUUUAAUUUUUUAC
rnacentral:lncRNA from 1 species